rnacentral:rRNA from 1 species
UACAGAGGGGGCAAGCGUUGUUCGGAAUUACUGGGCGUAAAGGGCGCGUAGGCGGCCCGCUAAGUCGAACGUGAAAUCCCCGAGCUCAACUCGGGAACUGCGUCCGAUACUGGCGGGCUUGAAUCCGGGAGAGGGAUGCGGAAUUCCAGGUGUAGCGGUGAAAUGCGUAGAUAUGUGGAGGAACACCUGUGGCGAAGGCGCCUUGCUGGCCAAUUUCUGACGCUGAGGCGCGAAAGCGUGGGGAGCAAACAGG